AGUCCUGUAGCUCAGCUGGUUAGAGCGCUGUUCCGAUGUACCAGCAGUCACGGGUUCCAGCCCCGUCGGGACUA
rfam:Triticum urartu cultivar G1812 contig8313, whole genome shotgun sequence.